rnacentral:rRNA from 1 species
GGUUAAGCGACUAAGCGUACACGGUGGAUGCCCUGGCAGUCAGAGGCGAUGAAGGACGUGCUAAUCUGCGAAAAGCGUCGGUAAGGUGAUAUGAACCGUUAUAGCCGGCGAUGUCCGAAUGGGGAAACCCAGUGUGAUUCGUCACACUAUCGUUAACUGAAUACAUAGGUUAACGAGGCGAACCGGGGGAACUGAAACAUCUAAGUACCCCGAGGAAAAGAAAUCAACCGAGAUUCCCCCAGUAGCGGCGAGCGAACGGGGAGCAGCCCAGAGUCUGAAUCAGCUUGUGUGUUAGUGGAACGGUCUGGAAAGUCCGACGGUACAGGGUGAUAGUCCCGUACACCAAAAUGCACAGGCUGUGAACUCGAAGAGUAGGGCGGGACACGUGGUAUCCUGUCUGAAUAUGGGGGGACCAUCCUCCAAGGCUAAAUACUCCUGACUGACCGAUAGUGAACCAGUACCGUGAGGGAAAGGCGAAAAGAACCCCGGCGAGGGGAGUGAAAAAGAACCUGAAACCGUGUACGUACAAGCAGUGGGAGCACCUUCGGGUGUGACUGCGUACCUUUUGUAUAAUGGGUCAGCGACUUAUAUUCUGUAGCAAGGUUAACCGUAUAGGGGAGCCGCAGGGAAACCGAGUCUUAACUGGGCGUUAAGUUGCAGGGUAUAGACCCGAAACCCGGUGAUCUAGCCAUGGGCAGGUUGAAGGUUGGGUAACACUAACUGGAGGACCGAACCGACUAAUGUUGAAAAAUUAGCGGAUGACUUGUGGCUGGGGGUGAAAGGCCAAUCAAACCGGGAGAUAGCUGGUUCUCCCCGAAAGCUAUUUAGGUAGCGCCUCGUGAAUUCAUCUUCGGGGGUAGAGCACUGUUUCGGCUAGGGGGUCAUCCCGACUUACCAACCCGAUGCAAACUACGAAUACCGAAGAAUGUUAUCACGGGAGACACACGGCGGGUGCUAACGUCCGUCGUGAAGAGGGAAACAACCCAGACCGCCAGCUAAGGUCCCAAAGUCAUGGUUAAGUGGGAAACGAUGUGGGAAGGCACAGACAGCCAGGAUGUUGGCUUAGAAGCAGCCAUCAUUUAAAGAAAGCGUAAUAGCUCACUGGUCGAGUCGGCCUGCGCGGAAGAUGUAACGGGGCUAAACCAUGCACCGAAGCUGCGGCAGCGACACUAUGUGUUGUUGGGUAGGGGAGCGUUCUGUAAGCCUGCGAAGGUGACCUGUGAGGGUUGCUGGAGGUAUCAGAAGUGCGAAUGCUGACAUAAGUAACGAUAAAGCGGGUGAAAAGCCCGCUCGCCGGAAGACCAAGGGUUCCUGUCCAACGUUAAUCGGGGCAGGGUGAGUCGACCCCUAAGGCGAGGCCGAAAGGCGUAGUCGAUGGGAAACAGGUUAAUAUUCCUGUACUUGGUGUUACUGCGAAGGGGGGACGGAGAAGGCUAUGUUAGCCGGGCGACGGUUGUCCCGGUUUAAGCAUGUAGGCUGGUUGUCCAGGCAAAUCCGGAUAAUCAAGGCUGAGGUGUGAUGACGAGGCACUACGGUGCUGAAGUAACAAAUGCCCUGCUUCCAGGAAAAGCCUCUAAGCAUCAGGUAACAUCAAAUCGUACCCCAAACCGACACAGGUGGUCAGGUAGAGAAUACCAAGGCGCUUGAGAGAACUCGGGUGAAGGAACUAGGCAAAAUGGUGCCGUAACUUCGGGAGAAGGCACGCUGGUGUGUAGGUGAAGUCCCUGCGGAUGGAGCUGAGACCAGUCGAAGAUACCAGCUGGCUGCAACUGUUUAUUAAAAACACAGCACUGUGCAAACACGAAAGUGGACGUAUACGGUGUGACGCCUGCCCGGUGCCGGAAGGUUAAUUGAUGGGGUUAUCCGUAAGGAGAAGCUCUUGAUCGAAGCCCCGGUAAACGGCGGCCGUAACUAUAACGGUCCUAAGGUAGCGAAAUUCCUUGUCGGGUAAGUUCCGACCUGCACGAAUGGCGUAAUGAUGGCCAGGCUGUCUCCACCCGAGACUCAGUGAAAUUGAACUCGCUGUGAAGAUGCAGUGUACCCGCGGCAAGACGGAAAGACCCCGUGAACCUUUACUAUAGCUUGACACUGAACAUUGAGCCUUGAUGUGUAGGAUAGGUGGGAGGCUUUGAAGCGUGGACGCCAGUCUGCGUGGAGCCAACCUUGAAAUACCACCCUUUAAUGUUUGAUGUUCUAACGUUGGCCCCUUAUCGGGGUUGCGGACAGUGUCUGGUGGGUAGUUUGACUGGGGCGGUCUCCUCCCAAAGCGUAACGGAGGAGCACGAAGGUUAGCUAAUCCUGGUCGGACAUCAGGAGGUUAGUGCAAUGGCAUAAGCUAGCUUGACUGCGAGCGUGACGGCGCGAGCAGGUGCGAAAGCAGGUCAUAGUGAUCCGGUGGUUCUGAAUGGAAGGGCCAUCGCUCAACGGAUAAAAGGUACUCCGGGGAUAACAGGCUGAUACCGCCCAAGAGUUCAUAUCGACGGCGGUGUUUGGCACCUCGAUGUCGGCUCAUCACAUCCUGGGGCUGAAGUAGGUCCCAAGGGUAUGGCUGUUCGCCAUUUAAAGUGGUACGCGAGCUGGGUUUAGAACGUCGUGAGACAGUUCGGUCCCUAUCUGCCGUGGGCGCUGGAGAAUUGAGGGGGGCUGCUCCUAGUACGAGAGGACCGGAGUGGACGCAUCACUGGUGUUCGGGUUGUCAUGCCAAUGGCACUGCCCGGUAGCUAAAUGCGGAAGAGAUAAGUGCUGAAAGCAUCUAAGCACGAAACUUGCCCCGAGAUGAGUUCUCCCUGAGACUUUAAGUCUCCUGAAGGAACGUUGAAGACGACGACGUUGAUAGGCCGGGUGUGUAAGCGCAGCGAUGCGUUGAGCUAACCGGUACUAAUGAACCGUGAGGCUUAACCUU